rnacentral:rRNA from 1 species
ACGAAAAAUAACGAUAGACGACUCGGUCGAGGCUGUCUAAUCGGAAUGAGCAUAGUCUAAAGCCUUAACGCGAGGAGCCAGUAGAGGGCAAGUCUGGUGCCAGCAGCCGCGGUAACUCCAGCUCUACAGGCGUAAACGUGAGUUGUUGUAGUUAAAACGCUCGUCGUUGGAUUUGAACCUAGGCCGCGGGCGGGGCGGGUCAAAGUUACCUGCUACUGCAGCGGUCGGUUGCGGGCGAGUUGCACCUCGGCGGAUCCCCUUGGCUGGGCGUCCGCGGGCUCGUCCCGGUUACCUUGAACAAAUGAGGGUGUUCAUGGCAGGCUCGCACACGCCUGGAUAGUCUAGCAUGGAAUAACAGAACUCGACUUCGGUCUUUUUCUGGCUGGUCUCUAGGACAUGGAGGGAUGAUCAAUAAGGACGACCGGAGGCGAUAGUACUCCUGGGCUAGAGGUGAAAUUCUUGGACCCCAGGAUGACUGACCGCAGCGAAAGCAUUCGCCUAGCACGUCCUCAUUAAUCAAGAACGAAAGUUAGAGGAUCGAAGACGAUCAGAUACCGUCCUAGUUCUGACCAUAAACGAUGCCAACAGGCGAUCGGUCGUAAGUACAAUUGCAAACCCUUAUAUAUGACACGGCCGGCAGCCCUCGGGAAACCAAAGUCUUUGGGUUCCGGGGGUAGUAUGGUUGCAAAGCUGAAACUUAAAGGAAUUGACGGAAGGGCACCACCAGGAGUGGAGCUUGCGGCUUAAUUUGACUCAACACGGGGAACCUCACCUGGGCCGGACACCGCGAGGAUUGACAGAUUGAGAGCUCUUUCUUGAUUCGGUGGGUGGUGGUGCAUGGCCGUUCUUAGUUCGUGCAGUGAUCUGUCAGGUUAAUUCCGCUAACGGACGAGACUCUAGCCUGCUAACUAGCGCAGGGGGUGUAAUGAGCCCCCGCAAACACGUUGACACUUCUUAGAGGGACAAGCGGUGUGGCAACCGCACGAGAUUGAGCAAUAACAGGUCUGUGAUGCCCUUAGAUGUCCAGGGCCGCACGCGCGCUACACUGAAAGAGACACAGAGGCAGGCGGGUGCAGCUCCGACAGGGGCUUGCUAAACUCCCAACCUCUAUCGUGCUAGGGACUAGGGAUUGAAACUGUUGCCUCCGAACGAGGAAUUCCCAGUAAAUGCGGGUCAUCAGCCUGCGUUGAUUACGUCCCUGCCCUUUGUACACACCGCCCGUCGCUACCACCGAGCUUGCGUUUUAGUGAGGCUGUUGGAGGCGUCCUGGUCGCCGGCGUGGAGGUAGAGAGGCGGGGUGAGUCGAGGACUCCGGUCCCCGGCCCCCGUCCCUCCCGACACUGUGCCGGCUUCAAGUGGUGCGAGCAAGG